CGGGGCGUAGCGCAGUCCGGCUAGCGCACCUGCUUUGGGAGCAGGGGGUCGGAGGUUCGAAUCCUCUCGCCCCGA
rnacentral:tRNA from 1 species